UGAGCCGUUCGAAUUUUUUUCUGAAUUC
rnacentral:piRNA from 1 species